rnacentral:rRNA from 1 species
GACGAACGCUGGCGGCGUGCCUAAUACAUGCAAGUCGAACGCAGUGGGGACGGGUGAGUAACCCGUGGGUAACCUCCCAUCAGAGGGGAUAACACUUGGAAACAGGUGCUAAACCGAUACUGAUGUAUGGACCCGCGGUGCAUUAGCGAGUUGGUGAGGUAACGGCUCACCAAGGCCACGCUGCAUAGCCGACCUGAGAGGGGGACCGGCCACACUGGGACUGAGACAAGGCCCAGACUACUACGGGAGGCAGCAGUAGGGAAUAUGGGGCAAUGGACGAAAGUCUGACCGAGCAACGCCGCGUGAGUGAAGAAGGUUUUCGGAUCGUAAAACUCUGUUGUUAGAGAAGCGGUAUCUAACCAGAAAGCCACGGCUAACUACGUGCCAGCAGCCGCGGUAAUUC